CUAAACUGGUCCAGGGUAGGUGCCUGUACAAUAUUGGCUGGUAGAGAGUUCCAUAGGACAAUAGUGGCUGGUAGAAGGAGAAUUUAUAGUAGUUGCUUGGAGUAGGGAUUUGUCUGAAUGAAAGAGGGUGCAAAUGUCUAGUGAGCCGGGUCGGAGGAGUGACAUAGGGAGGCAUUGGUACAGCAACCAGUCCGUGGACAAUUUUAUAGAACAUCAGUAGCCGGGAGUCGUACCUUCUGUUCUCAAGUGAACGCCACCCUAAUUUGUCUAGCAUGUGUGUGACACUGUUGUGAUAUGAGUAAUCAUUUGUAACCCAUCGAGCGCCCCUGCGUUGGACCAUCUCGAUCUUGUUUAUGUUGUGUUGUGUGUGUGGGCUCCACACUGAGCUACUAUACUCAAGUUGUGGGCGGACCAGGGUUUUGAAGGCAAAUUCUCUAAUGCGUGGGUGUUUUAUGGGAAUGUUUCGUUUGAUGAAGUUUAGUGUUUGACUGGCUGUUGCAGUAACCUGGUUUAUGUGUUUAUUCCAGCUGAGGUCAGAUGUGAUGCUAACACCCAAGUAUUUAGCAUCACUAACUGUUUCUAGAAUAUGACCGUGGAGUGUGUAAGUGGAUUUGUAGGGACGUUUUGACCUGGGGAUGUUCAUAACCGUACACUUGGAAGGAUUAAAUUCCAUAUCCCAAGUGUGUUCCCAUUUUUGUAGCCGAUCUAGAUCUUCUUGCAGGGUAUUUUGUUCAGUGGGAUUGUUGACCGUGAUGUAGACUUCUUAAGAUAUUCUACUGAUUGAAACUGUUGAGAAUGUUCUUACCUAAUGUUAAAAAAGCUUUCAAUUUUCCACAUAUUUGAAUCAUUUUAAUGAUUUCAUGAUGAAUAAUUAUCAUAUAUAAAAUAGAAAUAAUAAGUUAUGGUCUUAAAUUUACAAUUCUAAACUAUAAACAAAUAUAAUCCGAAAUAUUGAGUUAAGCUAUACCGUAAAUCUUUCAUUUAGUAUUAUUACAACAGAAAAUCAAAAGCUGUUUAUAAUAAAUAAGUUGUUCUCUUACACACAUAUCAAACACUUAUUUUCUUGAAUACAUGUGUUUGAUUUAUUACAGAUGUUAGAUCAACAAUCAACGAUGUCAAAGGUGUGGGUUUAGAAUUUCAAAAAAAGAUGCUAAUAUGGAACUGCCAAACAAUCUGAUCAGCACCAAACCUGCUGCAGCUGCAUCGGAAAACAAUACCUUCCUGAUAUGAUGUCAAUCACUUGCAGAUGACCAAGACCAUGUUAAGUUACGCCAGAAGGAAUGAUAGCAUAAAUGCUGCCAGCGAAGUUCGCUUGGACAAGAUUACUUCCAUACCCGGACAGACCGUUCAUACGUACAUUGUCGGAAAGAUUAUUGUAACCCAAUUCGAAUCAAGCUAUCCUUAAAUAAAAAGCCAACAAAGACUGUAUUAUCUCCACCAUUACGAUCUAACACUGAACGAUUUAACUUCAGUACAAAUUGUCUAUUUUGUGCUCAACGUGCCAAAUUUGUUGGAAGAAAACGAGGCUAUAAUGUAUACCCUGUUAGAACAGUUGAAUUUAAAAAGAACAUAGAACAAAUAUGUAUCGAUAGGGAUGACAAACAGGGUUCAGAUAUUAAGAGCAGAUUGGAAACAAUACAUGACUUAGCGGCUGCUGUUGCUAUAUACCAUUAGUCAUGCAGCGUAAAUUUUAGGACAGGUAAAAAUAUACCACAGUCAGGCAAUGAAAAAGGAAAGAAGUGUGGAAGACAAGUGAACAUGGCACAGGAAUUUGCUUUCCAGGAAAUAGCAAAGUUCCUGAUUGAAAAUGAUGACGAACAAAUAACACUAAAAGACCUUGUUGACAAAAUGGUAGAACUAUGUGGAGAACUCUCCUAUACAUUAACUCAUAUGAAGAAGAGAUUACUAGAGCAUUUUGGGUCCUCUAUUGUCAUCACAGAAUUAAAUGGAAAGCAGAAUGUAAUCACAUUUAGAAACACUGCAUCAUCAAUUCUUCAUUCAUUUUACCAAAAGUCUAGUAGCGAUUCUGAUGCUUAUAAAAUUGAAAUAAUAAAAACAGCAGCACAACUAUUGCUAACUGAUAUAAAGGAUAUUAAAGCAACAAUAACAAUGAUUUAAUAGUAACAUGUAUUUAAUGGGUGGGUGGGGUAAGUUUACCCCUAUAAAUGCACUAUUUACAUGAGUAAAUAUGUUAAGAAACUUCAUGAUACACUUAGGUAAUAGAAAAAUAAUACUGUUUUCAUAACUGAUGUAUUACUGAAUACUGUUUUUGUCGGGUGGUUUGCUCGAAAUGUGUUGUUUGAAUAGAAAAUGGAAAAUAUACUUUAUUUAAAAAAACGUCCGCGAGGGGCAUAAAUAAAAUGAAGUUUUAACAGGUUUGCCCUGGAAAUAUUU